rnacentral:rRNA from 1 species
AUUGAACGCUGGCGGCAUGCUUUACACAUGCAAGUCGAACGGCAGCGCGGGCUUCGGCCUGGCGGCGAGUGGCGAACGGGUGAGUAAUGCAUCGGAACGUGCCCAGUAGUGGGGGAUAGCCCGGCGAAAGCCGGAUUAAUACCGCAUACGACCUGAGGGUGAAAGCGGGGGACCGAAAGGCCUCGCGCGAUGGGAGCGGCCGAUGUCGGAUUAGCUAGUUGGUGGGGUAAAGGCUUACCAAGGCGACGAUCCGUAGCUGGUCUGAGAGGACGACCAGCCACACUGGGACUGAGACACGGCCCAGACUCCUACGGGAGGCAGCAGUGGGGAAUUUUGGACAAUGGGGGCGACCCUGAUCCAGCCAUGCCGAGUGUGGGAAGAAGGCCUUCGGGUUGUAAAGCGCUUUUGUUCGGGAAGAACCCCUCUGGGCUAAUACCCCGGGGGGAUGACGGUACCGGAAGAAUAAGCACCGGCUAACUACGUG